CAUUUUAUCUCCCUCUGCGUGACUCUGUUUUUUUUUUAAAUUAGGCUUUGCUUAUCAGAAUAGAAAUUAUUACUAUUUGAGUUCAUUUUAUGUAUUUCUUUUUGAGCUUAUUGUCUCUUUCUACUAGGAGAAUAUAAUCUAUCCAAGAAAGAAGAUUGUAUCUGCCUUCCUUACUGCUGUUAUUUCAAUGUCAAGAUCAAUAACUGUCAAACAGGUGUUUGCUCAAUGAGAGAACAACUUGAUUAAUAACCUCUCAUGACUAUCCUUCACUCUCCCAUUUGGGGAGUUUGAGGCCAAGAGCAGAGGAGCUACCCUGAAGCUUGUUUAAAGAUUUUCUCUGCUUUUCAAACUCCAGUUUUAUCUUCCAUUCCAACACUUGGAAAACAGAAAUAACUCCUAUCAACUCCUACCUCCACCUUGGCCAAUCCACCUUGAUCUAUAUUUCUUCUACCAUUUGUUGUGUUACCAUAGAUCAGUGAUUGUCAACAAUGAUUAGAUUUCCUCCUGAGUUUAUUUUAAUAUGUUUUAAUUUGUUGUGAAAGUAGUGACACUGACUUUUGGACAGUAGAAUCAAUGCUGCUGUAAAACUGCAACAAAUGCAAUAGUAUGCCUGCUUAAAAAUGUUUUCUGGGCCAGGUGUAUAGCUCAGUGGUAGUUGCCUAGCAUGAACAGGAACCUAGGUUUGAUCCACAAAACUGAAAAUAAAUAUUUUCCUAUAUGGCUUUCCACGAAUACCUUUUGAAUGUCUUUUCAUUUAUUCAUGUUUAUAAAAUAUCUGUUCAUAAUUACCUGUGUCUGGAACAUAAUUUUGCUUAGAAGAUAAAUGUAAAGAAAUUUUUACUUAUCGCACAGCAAAUUUACAGUGAAUUUCUCUAAACAUAUCCUUAAGGGAAGAUUUUAUCUUAUUUGUUGAGAAAUCUAUGAAUAGCUAUUGAACAUUUUUUUUAAAAAAAAUUUACCUCCAACAAUUAUUUCAUUAUGUUUGAGAUAUUUAAGUUUAAAUACAAUACAGGAUUUAAACUUUAUUGGCAGUUUUGUUUACUGUGUAUUUAGAUUUUUGAGGGAAACUACAACCCCAAAUUAUUAAAUGAUAAAUUUCAGAAUUAAAUAAUACGUGUUAUAAAUUGCACACUUUUGUGAAAGAACAGUGAAAUCCCAAUCUGUGCCUUCUCAUUCCUUCAUGCCUAAUAUAUGAACCAUUCUUUUGUCCAGCAUGCUGUAUAUACUCACACCUCACCCAAUUGGCACUGAGUAGCCGUUUUGGUUGUCCGACUUUUGGUCAUGUUAUCACAGUGCUUGUGUUCAAGUAACCCUAACUUUAAUUAAUAAUGGCCCCCAAAUACAAGUAUUUUGAUCCAGGCAAUUUGAAUAUGUAAAAAAGAAACUUUAGUGCUUCUGAUAAAUGAAAAGGGGAAAGUUCUCAACUGAAUAAGGGGAAAGAAGAAGUCACAUAAUUCGGUUGUUAAGAUUUAAGAUGAGUAUGAAUCCUCAAACAAUGAAAUUGUAAAGAUGAAAGAGAAGCGCUUGCUAGUUCUGUUGUCUCCAGCCAUAAAAAUUGUGGCCACGAUGUGACAUAAGUAUUUAUUUAAGAUAGAAAAAGGAUUAAAUUUAUCUAUGUAUAUAGAGGACAUAUAUAGGAUUAUAGAGUUUGGUACUACGUGCAGCUUAAUAUUUUGGAAAAUAUCUCUCAGAGGAUAAAGUAGGGACUACUGUAAAACAUGAGCCAGUACAUAUCUAUGAAUAUUAUAUUAAUGUGGAUUCUCCAUGUCAGUUUAAUCAUUUAAGUACCUCAUCAAAUUUUCUGGUGUAAUAAUGCUUGAAAAAUUAAGAUAAAAUAUCAUUUCAUGUAGAAAAGUCUGUAGAAUAAAUUGGAUAUUAUUAGCCUAUGUAUAUAUAUGAUUACAUGACCAAUAUGAUUCUAUUAUCAUGUACAACAAGAAGAUGGAGAAGUUAUACUCAAUUCAUAUACGAUGUGUCAAAAUGCACUGUACUGUCAUGUAUAACUAAUUAGAACAAAUUUUUGAAGUUUUUAAAGAAAGGCUAGGGAUGUGGCUCUGUGGUUAAACACCCUUGGGUUCAAUCUCCAGUACCCCCCCCAAAAAAAAAUCUAGAAAAAAAUGAAGUCAUGCUAUUCUGUAAACAUACUUUACACACAGAGUUACAAAAAUUGUGCUGUGAAUGGAAAAUUAUGAAUGUAAUGCACUCCACUAUUGUUAUGUAUGUAAGAAAUAAAUUA